GUCUGGGAGUAAUAGGGGGGACUGGGAUUGAACUGGGAACAAUGGGAUUGAACUGGGAGUAAUGGGAUUGAACUGGGAACAAGGGGGUGGGAAGUGGGAGUAAUGGGAGGUGGGAUUGGGAGUCAUUGGUUAUAAUGGGUGUGCAGUUGGUUGUAUCCGGUUGUUUCCGGUUCUGUAUCCGGUUGUAUCUGGUUGUUGUGUAUCCGGAUGUUCCGUAUCCGGUUGUAUUUGGUGGUUCUUUAUCUGGUUGUAUCUGGUUGUUCUGUAUCCAGUUGUAUCCGGUUGUAUCCGGUUGUAUCCGGUUGUUCUGUAUCUGGUUGUAUCUGGUUUUAUUUCCGGUUGUAUCUGAUUGUAUCCGGUUGUAUCCUGUUGUUCUGUACCUGGUUGUAUCCGAUUGUUUCCGGUUCUGUAUCUGGUUAUAUCCGGUUCAGUAUCUGGUUGUAUCCAAUAGUAUCUGGUUGGUCUGUAUCCGGUUCCGUCUGGUUGUAUCCGAUUGUAUCCGGUUGUAUCUGGUUCUGUAUCCGGUUCUGUAUCCAAUAGUAUCCGGCUGUUCUGUAUCCAGCUGUAUCCGGUUGUAUCUGGUUAUAUCCGGUUGUUCUGUAUCUGGCUGUAUCCGGUUGUUCUGUGUCUGGUUGUGUCCGGUUGUGUUGUAUCCAGUUCCAUCCGGUUGUAUCCGGAUGUUCUGUAUCCGGUUGUAUCCGGCUGUAUCCGGUUUUUCAGUAUCCAGCUGUAUCCGGUUGUAUCUGGUUCAGUAUCCGGUUGUAUCCGGUUCCAUCCGUCUGUCUGUAUCCGGUGGUUCUCUAUCCGGUUGUAUCCGGUUGUAUCUGGUUCUAUAUCCGGUUGUAUCCGGUUCUGUAUCUGGUUCCAUCUGGUUGUAUCCGGUUGUUCUGUAUCUGGUUGUUCUGUAUCCGGUUGUAUCCGUCUGUAUCCGGCUGUAUCUGGUUCUAUAUCCGGUUGUAUCCGGUUCCAUCCAGUUGUAUCCGGUUCUGUAUCUGGCUGUUCUGUAUCCGGCUGUUCCAGGCUCUCUGCUCCUCCCUCUGCUCCUCUCUCUCCGCUCGCUCUGUGCUUCAGGCCAUGGGGGUUGGUGAUGGAGCCGCCACCGUCACCGGAGCCACCCUCACCUGGCUGCUGCGGGGUCAGUGCCCAAAACACCCGUUUCA
rnacentral:lncRNA from 14 species